rnacentral:rRNA from 1 species
AGUCAAUAGAUACCCAGGUAGUCCACGCCGUAAACGAUGAGUACUAGGUGUAGGAGGUAUCGACUCCUUCUGUGCCGCAGUUAACACAAUAAGUACCCCGCCUGGGAAGUACGGUCGCAAGAUUAAAACUCAAAGGAAUUGACGGGGGCCCGCACAAGCAGCGGAGCAUGUGGUUUAAUUCGAAGCAACGCGAAGAACCUUACCUAGACUUGACAUCUCCUGAAUAGCGCAGAGAUGCGUGAAGCCCUUCGGGGCAGGAAGACAGGUGGUGCAUGGUUGUCGUCAGCUCGUGUCGUGAGAUGUUGGGUUAAAGUCCCGCAACGAGCGCAACCCCUAUUAUUAGUUGCUACCAUUAAGUUGAGCACUCUAAUGAGACUGCCCGGGUUAACCGGGGAGGAAGGCGGGGAUGACGUCAAAUCAUCAUGCCCCUUAUGUCUAGGGCUACACACGUGCUACAAUGGUGAGAACAACGAGAUGCAAUACCGCGAGGUGGAGCAAAACUUGAAAACUCAUCUCAGUUCGGAUUGUAGG